rnacentral:misc_RNA from 1 species
AACGCACAUUGCGCUCUCUGGUAUUCCGGAGAGCAUGCUUGUUUGAGUAUCAGUAAAACACCUCAAUUCCGUUCUUUUUUUUUAAAGGAUGGAGUUGGACUUGAGCAAUCCCAACAGGAGGGCAAUUUUAUUACCCUCCGGCGGGCUGCUUGAAAUGCAGGUGCAGCUGGACUUUCUUCUGGGCUAUAAGCAUAUUUAUUUAGUCCCGUAAUACGGAUUAUUACUUUUUGCUGCAGCCAACAUAAAGGUUGAUUGUCGUAUUGCUGACUGAUGCAGGAAUUUUCGGGUGAUUGGCAACAAUUACCUGUUAAACUCGAUCUCAAAUCAAGUAAGACUACCCGCUGAACUUAA